rnacentral:tRNA from 1 species
GAUGGCCGAACAAAUUACAGGCAAUAAACUUUUAAUUUAUUUAUGAGGAGACUCUC